UACAGAGGUCCCAAGCGUUGUUCGGAUUCAUUGGGCGUAAAGGGUGCGUAGGUGGCAUGGUUAGUCGGGUGUGAAAUCCUGGGGCUCAACCCCGGAACUGCACUCGAUACUGCCGUGCUGGAGUACUGGAGAGGAGACUGGAAUUUACGGUGUAGCAGUGAAAUGCGUAGAUAUCGUAAGGAAGACCGGUGGCGAAAGCUAGUCUCUGGACAGUCACUGACACUGAGGCACGAAGGCUAGGGGAGCAAACGGG
rnacentral:rRNA from 1 species